CGGGGACACCGGUCAGUCCCCAUCACCUGCACCCUUCCUCCAGCUAGUCUGGGGCAUCAAAACACCGGACUUUUAAGCACAUUGAGACGGCUCCUGAGCCCCUGGCUACUUUUCAAUGAAACCAGACAGAGGAAUGCCAGAGCAGACCUCAGAGCUAUCUUCAAGACCUGAAGAAAUCAUUCAUUACCCUUACCUAACUUCCAACCAAUCAGCUUCCAGCACAGUCUGGAACCCCUAACCCCAGGUACCUUGUGAUUUUUCCCUAUAUAAUCUGUAACUUAGAUGCCAUUUGGGGAGUUGGAUCUUUAGAGGAUUGGCCUAUUAACUAUUAAACUUUUUCUUUCUAUACUGCAAA